UCCCUUGGAUCUAGAUGCUAUUUCAUCCC
rnacentral:piRNA from 1 species